rnacentral:rRNA from 1 species
AAGUCGUAACAAGGUUUCCGUAGGUGAACCUGCGGAAGGAUCAUUAUCGAGUUUUGAAGUGGGCUUCGAUGCUGGCCUCUCGGGGCAUGUGCUCGGCCCCGCUCAUCCACUCAACCCCUGUGCACUUUCGAAGUCGUGGUCCUCCGUCACGGGAGCCGCCUCGUCAUCUCUUUGACGGGGCCGGGGCCGCGCUUCGCCUUUCAUCACAAACUCUUUUAAACGUCUUGUAGAAUGUGAAAUGCCUCUUUGUGGGCGAAACUUAAUACAACUUUCAACAACGGAUCUCUUGGCUCUCGCAUCGAUGAAGAACGCAGCGAAAUGCGAUAAGUAAUGUGAAUUGCAGAAUUCAGUGAAUCAUCGAAUCUUUGAACGCACCUUGCGCUCCUUGGUAUUCCGAGGAGCAUGCCUGUUUGAGUGUCAUGAAAUCAUCAACCCCCUUUUCUUUCUCUUCGGAGACUUUGGAGGUGGCUUGGACUUGGGGAUCUGCUGGCCCUUCGGGAUCGGCUUCCCUUGAAUGCAUUAGCCAGACUUCGGUUCGCAGCAGCUAAGCGGUGUGAUAAUAUCUUCACUGCGGCUGNNUCGGCAGUGUCAAGUUCGGCUUCUAACCGUCCGUCUCGGACACUUCAUUGACAAUCUGACCUCAAAUCAGGUAGGACUACCCGCUGAACUUAAGCAUAUCAAUAAGCGNNGGAAAAGAAACUAACAAGGAUUCCCCUAGUAACUGCGAGUGAAGCGGGAAGAGCUCAAAUUUAGAAUCUGGCGGUUUUGCCGUCCGAGUUGUAAUCUGGAGAAGCGUUUUCCGCGUCGGACCGUGUACAAGUCUCUUGGAACAGAGCGUCAUAGAGGGUGAGAAUCCCGUCCAUGACACGGACCGCCGAUGCUUUGUGAUACGCUCUCGAAGAGUCGAGUUGUUUGGGAAUGCAGCUCAAAAUGGGUGGUAAAUUCCAUCUAAAGCUAAAUAUUGGCGAGAGACCGAUAGCGAACAAGUACCGUGAGGGAAAGAUGAAAAGCACUUUGGAAAGAGAGUUAAACAGUACGUGAAAUUGUUGAAAGGGAAACGCUUGGAGUCAGUCGCGUCGUCCGGGACUCAGCCUCGCUCUUUUGCUUGGUGUACUUCCCGGUAGACGGGUCAACAUCGAUUUUGGCCGGCGGAUAAAGGGGAAGGGAAUGUGGCACCUCCGGGUGUGUUAUAGCCCUCUUCCGCAUACGCUGGCCGGGAUCGAGGAUCGCAGCACGCCUUCAUGGCCGGGGGGUUCGCCCUCACGUAACGUGCUUAGGAUGUUGGCAUAAUGGCUUUAAGCGACC